AGAGCGAACGCUGGCGGCAGGCCUAACACAUGCAAGUCGAACGAACUCUUCGGAGUUAGUGGCGGACGGGUGAGUAACACGUGGGAACGUGCCUUUAGGUUCGGAAUAACUCAGGGAAACUUGUGCUAAUACCGAAUGUGCCCUUCGGGGGAAAGAUUUAUCGCCUUUAGAGCGGCCCGCGUCUGAUUAGCUUGUUGGUGGGUAAUGGCCCACCAAGGCUACGAUCAGUAGCUGGUCUGAGAGGAUGACCAGCCACAUUGGGACUGAGACACGGCCCAAACUCCUACGGGAGCAGCAGUGGGAAUCGUUGCGCAAGUGGGACGAAAGCCUAGACCGCAGCCAGUGCCGCGUGUAUGAGUGAAGUCUUAGGAUUAGUAAAUACUUCGACGUGAAGAUAAUGAUAGUAGACCGAGAAGACGCCCGACUAACGUCG
rnacentral:rRNA from 1 species